rnacentral:rRNA from 1 species
AGAGCGCAGGGCGAAUGCCUUGGCACUGGGAGCCGAUGAAAGACGUGAUAAGCUGCGAUAAGCCACGGGGAGCUGCAAAUAAGCUUUGAUCCGUGGAUUUCUGAAUGGAGAAAUCCGGCCGGAGUCAAGUCCGGUCAUCAUAUACUGAAUCAAUAGGUAUAUGAGGGGAACCGCCUGAACUGAAACAUCUAAGUAGGGCGAGGAAAAGAAAUCAACCGAGAUUCCGCUAGUAGUGGCGAGCGAACGCGGACUAGGCCAAACCGGAAGCAGCAAUGUUUCCGGGGUUGCGGACCGUAUUUAGCAUUGUUAAGAUCUAACCGAACUGUAUGGGAAGGCAGACCAAAGAGCGUGAGAGUCGUGUAGGUGAAAGAUUGAGACAGCGAACGGUAUCCAGAGUACCGCGGGACACGUGAAACCCCGUGGGAAGCCGGGGGGACCACCCUCCAAGCCUAAACACUACCCAGUGACCGAUAGCGUAUAGUACUGUGAAGGAAAGGUGAAAAGGACCCCGGGAGGGGAGUGAAAAAGAACCUGAAACCCUGUGCUUACAAGCACCGAGAGCCCGUCAAUGGGUGAUCGGGUACCUUUUGUAGAAUGGUCCGGCGAGUAUAUUUGACUGGCAAGGUUAAGGGCCUCAGGUCCGGAGCCGAAGCGAGAGCGAGUCUGAACAGGGCGUAUAGUCAGUCGGAUAUGACCCGAAACCGGGUGACCUAUCCAUGGUCAGGUUGAAGUGAGCGUAAAAGCUCAUGGAGGACCGAACCGACCUCCGUUGAAAAGGCGGCGGAUGAACUGUGGAUAGCGGAGAAAUUCCAAUCGAACUCGGAUAUAGCUGGUUCUCCCCGAAAUAGCUUUAGGGCUAGCGUUGACUUAGAUUACUGGAGGUAAAGCACUGAAUAGGCUAGGGGCCGAGAGGUUACCGACCCUUAUCAAACUCUGAAUGCCAGAUAAUUGAUGGUCAGCAGUCAGACAGUGUGAGAUAAGUUUCAUUGUCAAAAGGGAAACAGCCCAGACCCACAGCUAAGGUCCCUAAUACACGUUAAGUGGAAAAGGAUGUGGAAUUGCAUAAACAACCAGGAUGUUGGCUUAGAAGCAGCCACACAUUCAAAGAGUGCGUAACAGCUCACUGGUCGAGUGAUUCUGCGCCGAAAAUUCAACGGGGCUAAACGUGUAACCGAAGCUUGGGCUGCAUCUUUGGAUGCGGGGUAGGGGAGCGUCGUGUGCGGGGCGAAGCAGGAGCGGAAGCGCCUGUGGACUUCACACGAGUGAGAAUGCCGGAAUGAGUAGCGCGAAAUAUGUGAGAAUCAUAUUGGCCGAAAGCCUAAGGUUUCUGGAGGAAGGUUCGUACGCUCCAGGUUAGCCGGGAGCUAAGGUGAGGCGGAGACGCGUAGCCGAUGCACAUACGGUGGAGAUUCCGUAGCCAUCAAAGGAUUUAAGAUCAGUGACACUGACAAAGGGCUUGACCCGGGCGUUGGUAGCCCCGGGCGAAAGGGACCGAAAUUAGAGUAGGGAAGCAAGUUUAGCGUCAGGCGAGAAAAGCUGAUUGUAUAUCCGCGAUGCCCGUACCGCAAACCGACACAGGUAGGUAGGAAGAGGAUUCUAAGGCCAACGGGAGAAGGGUUGUUAAGGAACUCGGCAAGUUGACCCCGUAACUUCGGAAGAAGGGGUGCUCUGGAGACAGAGCCGCAGAGAAUAGGUCCAGGCGACUGUUUAGCAAAAACACAGCUCUAUGCUAAAUCGAAAGAUGACGUAUAUGGGGUGACGCCUGCCCGGUGCUGGAAGGUUAAGAGGAGAUGUGCAAGCAUUGAAUCGAAGCCCCAGUAAACGGCGGCCGUAACUAUAACGGUCCUAAGGUAGCGAAAUUCCUUGUCAGGUAAGUUCUGACCCGCACGAAUGGCGUAACGAUCUGGACACUGUCUCAACGACCCACCCGGCGAAAUUGUAGUACCGGUGAAGAUGCCGGUUACCCGCGACAAGACGGAAAGACCCCAUGGAGCUUCACUGUAGCCUAAUAUUGGAUUUCGGUAUUUCAUGUACAGGAUAGGUGGGAGACUAGGAAACAGGGGCGUCAGCUUCUGCGGAGUCGACCUUGGGAUACCACUCUUGAAGUGCUGGAAUUCUAACCUGCGGCCAUGAAUCUGGUCGGGGGACAUUGUUAGGUGGGCAGUUUGACUGGGGCGGUCGCCUCCAAAAAGGUAACGGAGGCGCUCAAAGGUUCGCUCAGCAUGGACAGAAAUCAUGCUUUUGAGUGUAAACGCAUAAGCGAGCCUAACUGCGAGACCGACGGGUCGAGCAGUAACGAAAGUUGGAGUUAGUGAUCCGGUGGUAUGUGAGUGGAAAUGCCAUCGCUCAACGGAUAAAAGCUACCCUGGGGAUAACAGGCUGAUCUCCCCCAAGAGUCCACAUCGUCGGGGAGGUUUGGCACCUCGAUGUCGGCUCAUCGCAUCCUGGGGCUGUAUUCGGUCCCAAGGGUUUGGCUGUUCGCCAAUUAAAGCGGUACGCGAGCUGGGUUCAGAACGUCGUGAGACAGUUCGGUCCCUAUCUGUCGUGGGCGCAGGAUAUUUGAGUGGAGCUGUCCCUAGUACGAGAGGACCGGGAUGGACGCACCUCUGGUGCAUCAGUUGUCACGCCAGUGGCACGGCUGAGCAGCUAUGUGCGGAACGGAUAAACGCUGAAGGCAUCUAAGCGUGAAGCCAACCACAAGAUAAGAUAUCCCACUGAGUCAAUCAGGUAAGACCCCUUGA